rnacentral:rRNA from 1 species
GACGAACGCUGGCGGCGUGCUUAACACAUGCCAGUCGAACGGAAAGGCCCUGCUUGCAGGGUGCUCGAGUGGCGAACGGGUGAGUAACACGUGGGUGAUCUGCCCCUUACUUUGGGAUAAGCCUGGGAAACUGGGUCUAAUACUGGAUAGGACCAUGCUGUAGGUGGUGUGGUGGAAAGAUUAGUUUCGGUAAGGGAUGAGCUCGCGGCCUAUCAGCUUGUUGGUGGGGUAAUGGCCUACCAAGGCGUCGACGGGUAGCCGGCCUGAGAGGGUGGACGGCCACAUUGGGACUGAGAUACGGCCCAGACUCCUACGGGAGGCAGCAGUGGGGAAUAUUGCACAAUGGGCGCAAGCCUGAUGCAGCGACGCCGCGGGGGGGAUGACGGCCUUCGGGUUGUAAACUCCUUUCAGCCAUGACGAAGCCCUUGUGGUGACGGUAGUGGUAGAAGAAGCACCGGCUAACUACGUG